rnacentral:rRNA from 1 species
UGGGGAAUUUUGGACAAUGGGCGAAAGCCUGAUCCAGCAAUGCCGCGUGUGUGAAGAAGGCCUUCGGGUUGUAAAGCACUUUUGUCCGGAAAGAAAUCCUUGGCUCUAAUACAGUCGGGGGAUGACGGUACCGGAAGAAUAAGCACCGGCUAACUACGUGCCAGCAGCCGCGGUAAUACGUAGGGUGCAAGCGUUAAUCGGAAUUACUGGGCGUAAAGCGUGCGCAGGCGGUUUGCUAAGACCGAUGUGAAAUCCCCGGGCUCAACCUGGGAACUGCAUUGGUGACUGGCAGGCUAGAGUAUGGCAGAGGGGGGUAGAAUUCCACGUGUAGCAGUGAAAUGCGUAGAGAUGUGGAGGAAUACCGAUGGCGAAGGCAGCCCCCUGGGCCAAAUACUGACGCUCAUGCACGAAAGCGUGGGGAGCAAACAGGAUUAGAUACCCUGGUAGUCCACGCCCUAAAACGAUGUCAACUAGUUGUUGGGGAUUCAUUUCCUUAGUAACGUAGCUAACGCGUGAAGUUGACCGCCUGGGGAGUACGGUCGCAAGAUUAAAACUCAAUGAAUUGAC